GACGAACGCUGGCGGCGUGCCUAAUACAUGCAAGUCGAACGCAGUGGGGACGGGUGAGUAACACGUGGGUAACCUCCCAUCAGAGGGGAUAACACUUGGAAACAGGUGCUAAACCGAUACUGAUGGAUGGACCCGCGGUGCAUUAGCUAGUUGUUGAGGUAACGGCUCACCAAGGCCACGAUGCAUAGCGGGCCGGAGAGGGUGAUCGGCCACAGUGUGACUGAGACACGGCCCAGAGUCCUACGGGGGGCAGCAGGAGGGAAUCUUCGGCAAUGGACGAAAGUCUGACCGAGCAACGCCGCGUGAGUGAAGAAGGUUGUCGGAUCGUAAGACUCUGUUGUUAGAGAAGCGGUAUCUAACCAGAAAGCCACGGCUAACUACGUGCCAGCAGCCGCGUAAUUC
rnacentral:rRNA from 1 species